GGAAGGCGGCGGGCGUAUUGAUCGCACCCCAAAACUCAUCAAGCCAUUCCAAGAAAAUGUCCAAUGGAUACGACAGCCGGUCCACUCGGCCCCCGUGAUUCUGCGGGUGGCUAAUGACAAAUCUACAGCUAUAUAUCAUAUAGCCAUAAGGCAAGGCUGUAGCAUUUGUCAGCCACUCCUGUUACAGUUUUGUUUUUUUCUUUCUCCCUCACUGCUAAUACAGUGAUACCCUUCAAAUGAAUACGUGACAACAGAAAGAUGAAUUUCGGGCAAGCACAACAAGCACAACAGUAGAUAGGAAAACCCUUCGUAUGCAGUCUGAAGGAAUAGAAAGAGGGACGUGUGUUGGUAUGACGAUGGUUAUUAUUGGAAACAACUGAGAUCAGAACGACCAGGGCUGCAGGCUGCGGGGCCCUUUGUGCGUCUGUCCUUGUUGGUUGUGUUUCCACUUUGCCAAAUAGCCUCGAGCAAAUGACUCCUCUGGCACAGGCCAAACCUUAAGUCUCGACCUUGUUUGUCUCUGUCUCUGUCCCUGUCUCUCUCCCGACAUCCGUCUGUCCUUAUUUCCUUUCUCUCUCAUUCCCGGGAGAUAUCGGUCAACCUCAAGAUAAAUACUUAAACCCUGACGGAGAACUUGGUCACCAAAGUCAGGCCCAAACCAAGCACUCGCCGGUGGAGAAGAGGUCUCUGAUUGAGAAUCAAUAUAGUACUUGUGAAACGCAGGCCUUGGUUUCCAUAAGGGAAAGCCAUUUGUAUUUAUUCGAUGCGGUAGGACUGAUCUGGUUCCUACUGCAUUAAGGCAACUUGGAGGGUAAAUGCCAUUUUUGGAAAAAUGUUAAUCACUAUUGAUUUUGUCCAGCAUUGAAUCUUUUGCUCUAAGAAUUCAAAUUAAAUUGAGUCAUCGCUGGACUAGAUUGGAAACAGCCCAACUGCUGAGUAUCAGAUGACUCCAAAAUCCUAUGAACAUAAAUUUGAUUAAGACUUCCCUGGCUAAUGGGUUACAGCCUGGGAAAUUACAGAAGUGUAUAUAAUGUAUAUCUGAUGGCUCUCAGUGGAGGUAAUAUACAUUUUUUAUAUAUAUAGAUUUUAUGAUUUAACAAUGGUAUCUUCAGUUGGAUUAAAGUAAGGAUUUUUUUUUUUUUUUAUAUUGCUCAGGAUGAAUCAGAACCUCUCGAAAAAAUGCCCCUGGGCCCCACUUUGAACGUCCCGUGUGUGUAUCCAUCAUCCUCUCCAUGUGUCCGGCAGUGCCUCUCCUCGCCGUUGCCCUUUUUCGAGUUUCGUAAGAGGCUUUCUGUGUCAGUGAAUCUUCUGCACCCGUGCUUCCCGUCCACACACUGACCCCAGGGUCCGCAGCCUUAUUUUAUGCAUGUCCUCUCCCCGUCGCAAGGCCCGUAAAUGGCCUCUCGCUGGGGAGAAGUGGGCCAGUGCUGCCGCAUGCCACUCACAUGGGAAGUGCAGGGCAGCUGAAAGCCACGGAUGGUCUGCCCUGAGCCCUGUUUACUGUGUCUGAUUACCCCCCCCCCGCCCGACACACACACACACACCCCCGAAUUCGCUCCCUUUAUAUACUCCUACACACUGCACUUUCCAAGAAACUGGCUGUAAAACAGAGAUCGCACGGGUCAUGCACUCAGCAAUUGCUUUUCCUUUGUGCGUUUUGUGUUUUUUACACAAAUGACUCCAUGACUCCGACAGUUCCAGUCGGGGAGGGGGGGCGUACAAAGGUAUGACAUGGGAAUGUCUUGGGACUACAGUUUUGGCUUGACAUCUGAACAGAUGGUCACGGGGUACAAGGAAGAUCAUAAAAAAAACUGUAGCAAAACAUAUCCAUUAUAGACUUGUCUACCUAGACUGAGAGGUCAAGGUCUUGACUUUUAUUUCAUAGAACCAUGUUCACCAAAUGUCACUUAUUAAUGACUCUGACUAAGAUCUGGAACAACCUGGGGUUGAUUUGCCUGUGUCAUUUGGUUUAUUUUGGGCUGUCCGUCACACUUGUGAAGACCCAAUAUACAAACUGAGACUAUCUAUUGGUACUUAGACACUUGCACUGUGUAGUCCAGUUACAUUGCAUACAUUGUACAGAAAUCACACUCUCUCACCUUUUAUAGAAAAGGUCUCACAUGACUACCAUUAAAUUUACCUGCUCAGAUAGUUGCCAUGUGUUGGGUUCAUCAACUUCAUUAAAAAAGUGUUUGACACAGUAAUAUACACCAAAACAAAAGUCCAACAAGCAGGAUCAACGGCCGAGAAAGCCAAUGUAGAGAGACGGUUGGACGACUCCUGAGCACAGUGAUGUGUUACAGUCCACGGUGGUGUAAUUGGAUGAAAUCAAUAUUUCAACCAUUGAAGUGGAAUAGUAAGUGGGUGAGAAAUUCAUAAUUUGUUUUUUGACCAUGGGACGUUUUCUUUCUUUCCAAAGCAGACCCGCCGAUGAGGACUUCAGAAAAGCAAAGGACUUUGUCCGAACCCAUGCGAGUUCUGGACACAUCAACGCUCUGUGUCUCAACGGAGAAGAGUCCCACCCGCGGCCAGAUCCUCCCUAUACUGCAAAAGCUGGGGGGAGCAUUUUCAAGAUGGAGAUACAGUGUUUGUGUCCACCCUGAAGGAGACGGUCCGGUCUGAUCUGUCCGAGCGAUAACAGAAUGCUGACGCCAGAGCCCCCCUUCCUUUAUUGGACCCUCUGUUUAAGGACGAUGACAGUCUGGGACCGGGUCAAGGACAAAGUACUGGCGGAAACAGAGCAGCUGACAGAGCAUGGUGAUGGUGAGAGGGACAUGGGGACAGUCCAGUCAGACGAAGAGGAAUAUUGGUGAAGAUGACUCCCUCUGAGGAGCUGUUUUGCAGAAGAUGAUGAACUCAAGAAGGAAAUAGUUCCAAGGGAGUACAAAUAGAAGGCGACGACCCAAAUUAUUGUGGCCGCAUGGCAGAGGUAGAAACUGAAGACGACGAACAGCAUUGUUAUGGCUGUUGUGGCACAAUGGAUAAGAACACUGACUGUGGUUCACUAGGUUGAGGGUUCAACUCCAACUGAUUAUAGAUUCUCCAACAAGGGGGAGCACGUCAAUCUGCUAUUGAGUCUAUAGACCGUUUAAUGGAUUUUGUACGCAAUACCAACUUUCAUCCAACGGAGGUAGAAAGAGAAGACGACGAAAAGGAAUUGUUAUUGCUGGAGUGGCACAAUGGACAAGAACACUGACUUUGGAUCAGUAGUUCAAGGGUUCAAGACCAACGCAGGGAGAGAUAAGCAUCCAGCGUCUGUAUUCACAGCUAAAAGUCGAUGGGGUAUAACAUGCUAUAUUAUUAUAUAGACAUAAUAAGACAGUUAAUAAUAACAACUGUCUUAAGACAGUUGUUAUUGAUAAUAAGAACAACUGUCUUAUCUUAUUUUUUUUAAGACUGUUAUUAAAACAGUGUUAUCAACUAAAUCAAGUUAAUAGUAUAUAAUAUAAGACAGUCUUAAUUUAAAAAUGUAAAAACAAGAAGAACCAACCAGGUCAAGGUUCUGUUCAUCUGUCCCUGGACUAACCUGUGCAUCCCAGCGCUGGAUUACCAACUAGAGACUUUCAGAGGCGUUGAGACUUUAUCCUAUCUGGGGUUAUUAUCUAAGGUAUCUUCUAGGAGGUUCUUUGACUUCCAAUUUACUUUAUUAUUUACAUACACUGGAACAUGUUAAUUUACAGGGAUAAAAAUGAUUCCCCCCCUCCUACCUAAAGUCCUGGCUCCCCCUUGCCGUAGCAUGUUAUACCCCAUCGACCUUUAGCUGUGAAUACAGACACUGGAUGCUUAUCUCUCCCUGCGUCGGAGUUGAACCCUCGAACCUACUGAGCCAAGGUCAGUGUUGUUGUCCACUGUGUCACACAUCCGUGAGUCGGUCUUGCCACUCUUCCGUGAGUCGGUCUUGAACCCUUGAACUACUGAUCCAAAGUCAGUGUUCUUGUUCAUUGUGCCACUCCAGCCAUAACAAUGAAAUUCGUCGUCUUCUGUUUCUACCUCCGUUGGAUGAAAGUUGGUAUUGCGUACAAAAUCCAUCAACCUUCUUAAGACUCGAGACCUGAUUGACUUGCUCAUCCUUGCUUGAGUAUCUAUAGUGAGUUGGUUUUGAACCCUCGACUCACUGAUCCUUAGUAAGUGUUCUUGUCCAUUGUGCCACACCAGCCACAGCAACAUUGUUCGUCGUCUUCCCUUUCUACCUCUGUUGGAUGAAAGUUGGUAUUGCGUACAAAAUCCAUCAAUCUUCUCAAGACUUGAAACCUAGACUCUCUACUGAGGUGGUUUUGAACCCUCGACCCAAUGAACCAAAGUCUGUUCUUCUUGUCCACUGAGCCACAGCAACAUAAAGUCAUUGCCUUCCAUUUCUACAUCAGUUGACAGCCGAUAAACAAAACAUGAUACAACACGACCGUUGGUCACAGUUCACUCAAGUGAAUUUUCAUAUUUGGUGUCAAACGUCAUUGUUUUGACAUUGUAGGGGAAACUUCUGUGGUGUAAUGUUUAACCCUGAUGUUUUUAAAUGCCUCCAGGAUCUUGUCAGCAGACAAUAACGAAACUGAGCUCCUGUGGAUGGAAAUCCCCAAUUUGAAAUCUAAUGAACCGUGGUGGUUACACAAGCGCUAUCUCAUUCCACACAUGGCUGACACUGAUUGACAGGAGGGGGGGGGGGGGGG